rnacentral:rRNA from 1 species
GAGUUUGAUCGUGGCUCAGGAUGAACGCUAGCUGGAGGCUUAAUACAUGCAAGUCGAGCGGGAUUGGUCAGCAAUGGCCAUGAGAGCGGCGCACGGGUGAGUAACGCGUACACGACCUACCUUUGACUGGGGAUAGCCCUGGGAACUGGGAUUAAUACCGCAUAUAAUUCUGAUUAAUAAAGGAUUGGAAUGAAAGUUCAGGCGGUCAGAGAUGGGUGUGCGUCUGAUUAGGCUAGUUGGUGAGGUAACGGCUCACCAAGGCGAUGAUCAGUA